AGGAUCUCUAUCUGGAGAUCAUCCCUUUUGGAACCCUUCUGCGAGCCCAGGAUAUGGGGUGAAGUAAAUCACUGCUCUCUUAAUUACUGUCAAGAAAUGAAGAUGGGCUGGAGAAGAUGCAGUUUACUCAGGUCUCCCCAACUCACAGGCUGAAGGAAAGCACCAAGUUUAUAACUAAUUUUGAGCCUUCUGGAAGAGCAAAUAUUUUCCCCUCUAAUGGGAAGAUGCAAAGAGGAUUAUAACAGCAAUAUCCUUCCUCUGGCAGGUUUCUUUUCAGGCAAGAGAGGCCUUUCAUAAUAAGUAACUGCUCUUUGUUAUGAACCAGCCUGUGUCAGUGACCACAGGACUUUAGGGACACAAAAUAGAUGCUAUCUGCCCAAAACUCACAGUCAUUGACUAUCAUUUUGAUUUCUUUACUGGGUAAGAGCAAGAAAAUGGCUUUUAAAUUAGAUGUUGAACCUCUUCCAGAAUUGCAAUAUAAGACACUGAAUCAAUCAUUCUUCUUACAGUUACCUCCUACUCCACAAGCUCCUACUACCAUAAAAAUUGGUCACUGUAAACUGAGCUGAGUGAAUGAUUUCCAGAUUCAGAUUUGUUUGAGAAUAUUUUCCUCUUCCUCUUUUCGUUAUUUGUCUGUGAGCAGAUUGAUUUUUCCCAAAUUUAUGUUUUUGGAAAACAUGUGCUGUAAUCCUUCUGCAAGUAAUUCGCUCCAUAAAUCAUGUGUGAGUGAUUUGCUAAGGAGUGUUCAAACAUUUGUCAUCACCCUCCAUGAACUUGUAACUCACGGUGUCUGCUCCUCAGCUCCAUGGCCAUAUCAAAGAGACACAUUUCCUUUUCCUUGGGGAAAUUCUCACUUUUGAAGCCCCUCCCCAGAAAACUUGUGCAGAAAGCAGGAAUUACAGAAAAUCAUUUCAGUCUUAGGCAGACAUGUUCACUGAGAGGCUCACACUUCAUCAGCACCUGUAAUUUUCCCAUCAGCUAGCAGAUAGCUUUUCCAGCCCUAAAGAGAACAUCAUCUGCACGCUUCACAACUGGGAGCUGCUCCUAGCCAGAGCUUUUGGAAGACAUCAUUCCAGUUUGUCUCACUAAUUGUCUGUGCGAGACAAGGCCUUCAAUGACAUAUAGAGUGGUUGGGCUCCAAAUAAGGACUGAAAGUAUGCAGUGUUUCACCACUGAAGAAGUAUUUAUUAAUUCCCCAGAAAUAAUUACAGGAUUCUUCCGGUUGAUGUUGCAUCUUUAUGAAAAAUAACUCUAUCAAAGCACUGGCAGAGGUGUCUGAUUCAGACCCUACUGAAGCCGGUGGAAAGUCUUCGUUUUGAACUUAUCUGCCACUGAACAGAUGGAGGAAACUGCCCUUCUCAGCUUGAAAAAUAGCAUCUUUUUCAGAUAAAAGUUUAAAAGAAUUCACUGUUUGGAGGGAUUUGAAUAUUUACCAUGUGUCCUCUUACAAAGAAAGUACUGGAAUGCAUAUGCAAUAUUGAAAAGUAGGUAAAAGUCAACCCCAACCCUGCGUGCCACCAUUAACCGCAGUGAGAAUUUCAAACCCAAGGCUGGCAGCUUGCCUCAAAUAUUUCCUUUGAAAACGUUUGUAGAAUAUGGGCCUCGGUUCUUGUUGGUAUGCAGCGAGAACACUGUGCUGGUAUUUCAGAUAAUGUAAACAGUUGCUGCAGCUGUCACCCAGGCACUUCAUGAUUUUACAUAGAAGAAGUAGAAAUUAACAAGUCGUGAAAUCUUGAUGGUGCCUGCAUUUGUACCUAGGAUAUGUGUGGGCAUCUCUUCCCAGUUCCUUUGCCAAAGGUACACUUUAUGAAAAUCUUGAAAAAUAAUUAUUAAAAAAAAAUCUGUAUAGAGAUACUGAGGAAUGCAAGUCAUAAAGCAAUUAACAUGUUUUCCAGAUAUGAAUUUUUCCAAAAGGAGAUUGUUUUCCUUCCAAAUCAGCUUCUUCUGAAAUUACCUUCAAUUCAUCAGUAUAGGAAGGACUUGGUGCACCUUAUGAAUGUUCCUGAGCUAUAUCUUCUGAGAUGGACUGAAAUGUUAACUCUUGUUGCUGAUAAGUGACUUGGGCUUCACUUAUUCUGGACCAUUCAGUCUGCUGCAGGAAGAAGCUUUUUGUUCCACUAGGCCACUCUCAGGUUGCUUCCCUGUAUGCUGAGGUUGAAUUUUAUUUCCUAAGCAUCAACAGGUACAUCAAUGUUUCUAUCAAGUCAGUUCUAUACCCGGAGUAGUGUUGUGUCUACUGCCCACCACGGUCUGUAUUUUCUGCUCAGAAUGGGUAAUACUUCAUAUCUGUGUUCUGAUGACACCAUUUUAGAAACUGGGCACAGAAAUUCUUGUGUCACUUUGACAAGCACAGCAUUCCUUUUCCUGCCAAAAGUGAAUCUCAAAUAUAAUAUUUUAAUUUAUUUUUACAUGCAGUUUAUGCUGAAUCAAGUAAAAGAUGACUAGCUUGGAGAUGCAUCAGAUUUCUUUGCACUUUUCACCACUAGCUGUUUUUUUUCCCCUGGUGCCUGUGUUAUGCUACUUCACAUUUGGUAUUCUGAUCCUAAUGAAUUUUAGGGUAAAUAAGUUGUUCCAAGCUGGCAUCUGUUUGUUUUUAUUUUAAACUUCAUAGAAAAUAGUUUAUUUUUGUGCACUGUUUUACCUGUAAUUAUUGCAAAGAUGCGUCAUAUUAUAUAUGAGAGGAAAAAAUUGCCGUACUGCAUAGUCAACUCCAUUUAUAUCACCGAAAGGGCAGCAAUCCAAAGCAUAAGUAACUUGAGCUCCAUGUGCAUUGCCACUCAAGCGAGCAGGACAUACGGUGAUGCCAAAAUGCCAGUGCUGGGCACAGGUCUGUGUAGCUCUGUCCUCAUGGAUUGCCUCCGCUGGAGCAAAGCGUGUCAUUAAACCCUGCUAUGCUGUGCUCUGCUUCACUGGGCGGCUGUGGGAAAUAAUAUGAAAUAGAGCACACUGUGCGCCUCAUUCUACAGAGCAGGUAUCAGCUCUGUAAUUACACCACAAUGCCUGGCACAUACCAUGUAAAUACAUAGCAAUUGCAUGUUCCUACAGCUUACUUGUUAAUUAUGCAUUGUUACUAACAAGUUCAAAGAUAAAUUAUCAUAGCACAUGCAGCACUUAGAUACUUGCAAACCUCUUAAGCUAUAAAUUCGUACUAUUAAUGGCCACUUCUGUUGCUUUUCCAUUGGGAAGGGAAGCACGGCGCUCUCAGCUGGAGGCCAGCAGUUGGAGCACACAGCUCUUACUGGUGCAGCAGAGGUACGAUGAAGCACUUCAACCAAGGAGGAAAUCUGGAUGAAUUAACAAAAUAACUUCCAUUAACAAAUCACUUUGCAAAUUCCAUUUAGUAAUCCUCCUAAGCAAAUGCUGUAUUUAAAAUCACUGGCACUUGCAUGCAAUAGAACCAAUGCUGUUUUCCUGACCCAAUAUUUAAUUUUGCACAAGCUAAAAAUGAG
ensembl:lncRNA